CGCAUCUGUGCACGCAGCAUAUCAAUAAGCGGAGGAAAAGAGACUAACAAGGAUUCCCCUAGUAACGGCGAGUGAAGCGGGAAGAGCUCAAAUUUGAAAUCUUAAAGGGUUUCCCUUUACGAAUUGUAGUUUAAAGAGGUGUUUUCUGUUGAGGUUUUGGUAAAAGUUCUUUGGAAUAGGACAUCAUAGAGGGUGAGAAUCCCGUAUUUGACCUUUACUUUCAACUUUGUGAUACACUUUCAAAGAGUCGGAUUGUUUGGGAAUGCAGUCCAAAAUGGGUGGUAAAUUUCAUCUAAAGCUAAAUAUUGGCGAGAGACCGAUAGCGAACAAGUACCGUGAGGGAAAGAUGAAAAGAACUUUGAAAGGAGAGUUAAACAGUACGUGAAAUUGUCAAAAGGGAAGCGUUUGACACCAGUGUUGUUUUUCUGAAAAUCAAUUAAAGAACUGUUUAUGCUAAGUUGUUUAGACUUUAUCAGCUAUCUGUUUAGUUUUGAGCUUUUCUUUAAUGCACUUUUCAGUUAACAAGUCAACAUCAAUUUCUUUUGCUGUAAAAAAGCUUGAGGAAGGUGGCUUGAGAUUCGUCUUAAGUGUUUAUAGCCUCUUGCCUAUGCAGUCGGAGAGAUUGAGGUCUGCAGCGUAGAUCCUUCGGGGCUAAAUGCAUUUGUGCUAAGUUAUAGCAUUUUAUAGACAACUUGUUGACUAUGAUUUGUCUUGUAGCUUACUCGCUUAUGUUAUUUUACCUACGCUUAGGAUGUUGAAUCUGUGCGAGACUAC
rnacentral:rRNA from 1 species